rnacentral:rRNA from 1 species
CACUAUGCCUAGCCAUAAACAUUGAUGAUAUCUUACAAUUAUCAUCCGCCUGGGAACUACGAGCAUCAGCUUAAAACCCAAAGGACUUGGCGGUGCUUUAGACCCACCUAGAGGAGCCUGUUCUAGAACCGAUAACCCCCGUUCAACCUCACCCUUCCUUGUUCUUCCCGCCUAUAUACCACCGUCGUCAGCUUACCCUGUGAAGGACUAAUAGUAAGCAAAACUGGCAAAGCCCAAAACGUCAGGUCGAGGUGUAGCGUAUGGAAGGGGAAGAAAUGGGCUACAUUCACUAACUCAGUGCACACGAAUGACACCCUGAAACACGUGUCUGAAGGAGGAUUUAGCAGUAAGCAGAAAAUAGAGUGUUCUACUGAAACUGGCCCUGAAGCGCGCACACACCGCCCGUCACUCUCCCCGAGCUAAGACUUUCAAGUAAAUAAAUAACCACAAUUGCAAAGGGGAGGCAAGUCGUAA